rnacentral:rRNA from 1 species
GAUGAACGCUGGCGGCGUGCCUAAUGCAUGCAAGUCGAGCGAACGGACGAGAAGCUUGCUUCUCUGAUGUUAGCGGCGGACGGGUGAGUAACACGUGGAUAACCUACCUAUAAGACUGGGAUAACUUCGGGAAACCGUAGCUAAUACCGGAUAAUAUUUUGAACCGCAUGGUUCAAAAGUGAAAGACGGUCUUGCUGUCACUUAUAGAUGGAUCCGCGCUGCAUUAGCUAGUUGGUAAGGUAACGGCUUACCAAGGCAACGAUGCAUAGCCGACCUGAGAGGGUGAUCGGCCACACUGGAACUGAGACACGGUCCAGACUCCUACGGGAGGCAGCAGUAGGGAAUCUUCCGCAAUGGGCGAAAGCCUGACGGAGCAACGCCGCGUGAGUGAUGAAGGUCUUCGGAUCGUAAAACUCUGUUAUUAGGGAAGAACAUAUGUGUAAGUAACUGUGCACAUCUUGACGGUACCUAAUCAGAAAGCCACGGCUAACUACGU